rnacentral:rRNA from 1 species
GAUGAACGCUGGCGGCGUGCUUAACACAUGCAAGUCGAACGAAGCGCUUAAGAUUGAUUCUUCGGAUGAUUUCUUUUGCGACUUAGUGGAGGACGGGUGAGUAACGCGUGGGUAACCUGCCUCACCCAGGGGGAUAACAGCUAGAAAUGACUGCUAAUACCGCAUAACCCGAUAGGAUCGCAUGAUCCAGACGGUAAAGAUUUAUCUGUGGGAGAUGGACCCGCGUCGGAUUAGCUAGUUGGUGAGGUAACGGCCCACCAAGGCGACGAUCAGUAGACGGCUUGAGAGGGGGAACGGCGACAUUGAGGCUGAGACACGGCCGGAACUCCUACGGGAGGCAGCAGUGGGGAAUAUUGCACAAUGGGGGAAACCCUGAUGCAGCGAGGCCGGGUGAGUGAAGAAGUAUUUCGGUAUGUAAAGAUCUAUCAGCAGGGAAGAAAAUGACGGUACCUGACUAAGAAGCCCCGGCUAACUACGUGCCAGCCGCCGCCGUAA